rnacentral:tRNA from 1 species
GCCUUCAUGGUGUAGUGGUCAGCACGCUGGGUGCGUAUUCCAGAGGUCCGUGGUUCGAGUCCCGGCGAAUGCG